GCUGGCGGCAUGCUUACACAUGCAAGUCGAACGGUAGAGUAGCAAUACUUGAGAGUGGCGAACGGGUGAGUAUAUAUCGGAACGUGCCCAGUCGUGGGGGAUAACGUAGAGAAAUUUACGCUAAUACCGCAUACGAUCUACGGAUGAAAGCGGGGGAUUCGCAAGAACCUCGCGCGAUUGGAGCGGCUGAUAUCAGAUUAGGUUGUUGGUGAGGUAAAAGCUCACCAAGCCGACGAUCUGUAGCUGGUUUGAGAGAACGACCAGCCACACUGGGACUGAGACACGGCCCAGACUCCUACGGGAGGCAGCAGUGGGGAAUUUUGGACAAUGGGCGAAAGCCUGAUCCAGCAAUGCCGCGUGCAGGAAGAAGGCCUUCGGGUUGUAAACUGCUUUUGUACGGAACGAAACGGUCCGCUUUAAUACAGUGGGCUAAUGACGGUACCGUAAGAAUAAGCACCGGCUAACUACGUGCCAGCAGCCGCGGUAAUACGUAGGGUGCGAGCGUUAAUCGGAAUUACUGGGCGUAAAGCGUGCGCAGGCGGUUAUAUAAGACAAUUGUGAAAUCCCCGGGCUCAACCUGGGAAUUGCAUCUGUGACUGUAUAGCUAGAGUACGGUAGAGGGGGAUGGAAUUCCGCGUGUAGCAGUGAAAUGCGUAGAUAUGCGGAGGGAC
rnacentral:rRNA from 1 species